rnacentral:rRNA from 1 species
GCGAACCUCAGGUCAGGGCGGGGGCCACCCGCUGAUUUUUAANCAUAAA